GACAUGAUAUGCUCCAUAUUUUAAAUUUUGGAAUACAAAAUUUCAGAAGAUUUUAAUUGUUACACAUGCAAAUGUCAAAAUAAUGUGAGAUGUACAAACUUCACGUUAAAUUUUUUUAUACAUGUUAUGUGCAUUUUUUGAUACAUAAAUAUUUAUAUUUUGUUACACAAGUAAUUCAAGGGAUAACGCAAAGCUAUCUUAGUGAAACAUAUAACUACUCCUUAAAUUACAGAUGUCACCUACAAAUUAUAGAAAUCUUUGUGUCCUAAUUUUUCGGAAAAUUACUUGUGCUCGUGUCAUAUCAAUGUUUUGAGCCUGUAUGUGUGCUUUAAAGCAUAUCUAAGAGGUUCUUUAUUUAUAAAAAUCAUCUUAUGUAUAAUAGAGAACAUCUUUAAAUUUUAAAUUUACAGAGUAUAAUUUUUUU
rnacentral:lncRNA from 1 species